CGGAACGUACCGUGUAGGUGGGGAUAACGUAGACGAAAGUUACGCUAAUACCGCAUACGAUCUACGGAUGAAAGGUGGGGGACCUUCGGGCCUCACGCUAUACGAGCGGCCGAUGUCUGAUUAGCUAGUUGGUGAGGUAAAGGCUCACCAAGGCAACGAUCAGUAGCGGGUCUGAGAGGAUGAUCCGCCACACUGGGACUGAGACACGGCCCAGACUCCUACGGGAGGCAGCAGUGGGGAAUUUUGGACAAUGGGCGAAAGCCUGAUCCAGCCAUGCCGCGUGUCUGAAGAAGGCCUUCGGGUUGUAAAGGACUUUUGUCAGGGAGCAAAACUUAGAGGUUAAUAACCUUUGAGGUUGAGAGUACCUGAAGAAUAAGCACCGGCUAACUACGUG
rnacentral:rRNA from 1 species